rnacentral:rRNA from 1 species
UACGUAGGGUGCGAGCGUUGUCCGGAAUUAUUGGGCGUAAAGAGCUCGUAGGCGGUUUGUCGCGUCGGCCGUGAAAACUUGGGGCUUAACCCAAAGCGUGCAUCCGAUACUGCUGUGACUUGAGUACGGUAGGGGAGCGGGGAAUUCCUAGUGUAGCGGUGAAAUGCGCAGAUAUUAGGAGGAACACCGGUGGCGAAGGCGCCGCUCUGGGCCGAAACUGACGCUGAGGAGCGAAAGCAUGGGUAGCAAACAGG